AUGAUCUCUACAUCUCUACUACUGCUGCUGCUGGCAGCCGUACACUGUGUUCACUGUGUUGAGCUGAUCCAGCCCGGAUCCACAGUAUUAACCCCUGGUCAGUCAAUGACUCUGACCUGUAAAGUGUCUGGAUAUUCAUUAACUGAUAGCAGCUACUGUACAGGCUGGAUACGACAACCUGCAGGAAAAGCUCUGGAGUGGGUAGGACGUAUAUGUAGUAGCGGUGGCACUGACUACAGUGAGAAACUGAAAAACAAGUUUCAGAUUUCCAGAGACACGUCCAGCAGUACAGUAACAUUAACAGGGCAGAACAUGCAGACUGAAGACACAGCUGUGUAUUACUGCACUCGUUACCCACAGUGAGACAGAUCAACAACAUCCAUGUGCAAAAACACCCCAUACAAAGGCCUAUUAGUCCACAAGUGCACUUACUAUCCAAGUCUAACUAUAAAAUCUAAUGAGACAAAUCACAACAUAGAGUUUAAAGUUUUUUUAAACGUUUAUAAUGUAGAUUUUAAACCAUAUUACAAAUGUAAUAAUGCUACAUCUCUAAGAUUGCUGCACAUUAUACCUGGGGCGUAGAUUUGCAUAUGGACGGUAGGAACAUGUCCAUACCAAUAUUUUGGGAGGGCAGAAUUGUCCCUACCAAUAUUUGUGGGAACACGUUUGCAUUAUCUUUGGAGUGAAGUCAUGAAAAUUCCAUAGCAUACUUUCCCAGAAGCUCCAGCAUUUAGGCAUGCUAGCAUUUGACUGGCUGAAAGGGAGGGGCUAUCUGAAGGCUCACCUUACGUGCAAAUAUCGAGCUGCCAGUGUAGAGUACAGACACUUAGGCUAGGGCUGAUCGGCUGGCAAUGGUAAGUAAUUUAUCAAGGCUGUCAGUCCAUACCUCAAGCAUGGGCGAAAAAUUUAGUCUUUCAGAUGACUUUACUCUCUUUCCUCUAUUGCCUACACGGCACAGCGUACAUAAAGAAUUUUUCCCAUGCCAACACGUUUUGUACUUUGUAGAUAUGCCACCGAAAAAACGACAAGACAUCAGGAGCUUUUCCCCACCCAAAGCGUAAGUAAUAGGUAGUAAACUAACUGUCCAGUAGCCACAUUGAUUUAAAAUGAAAACCUGUUAGUGACCAAACGUCACCAGCCUUGCACUGAGGAAAGUAAUGUCAACUGAUAUUAGUUAACCGUGUUAGCUAGCGUUAACUAGCAAGCUAACCCUGUCUUCUGUCAUCUGCAGGCUAGCAGUCAGGUUGCUAGCUGGAAUA